rnacentral:lncRNA from 1 species
AUGGGUGAUAUUGAGAAAGGCAAGAGGAUUUGUACUGAGAAGUAUGCCCAGUGCUACACCGUGGAAAACAAAGGCAAGGACAAAACGAGGCCUAAUCUCCACCGUCCAGGCCAUUGGAUUCUCUUUAACAGAUGCCAGUAAGAACAAACGCAUCACCUGGGGAGAGGAUACCCUGAUGGAGCAUUUGGAGAAUCCCUAGAAGUACAUCUCUGGAACAAAAAUGAUCUUUGCCCACAUUAAGAAGAAGGCAGAAAGGGCAGACUUGAUAGCUUAUCUCAAAAAAGCUACUAAUG